UACGGAGGGGGCUAGCGUUGUUCGGAAUUACUGGGCGUAAAGCGCGCGUAGGCGAACCUGCAAGUCGGGGGUGAAAGCCCGAGGCUCAACCUCGGAACUGCCUUCGAUACUGCGGGUCUCGAGUCCGGGAGAGGUGAGUGGAAUUCCUAGUGUAGAGGUGAAAUUCGUAGAUAUUAGGAAGAACACCAGUGGCGAAGGCGGCUCACUGGCCCGGUACUGACGCUGAGGCGCGAAAGCGUGGGGAGCAAACAGG
rnacentral:rRNA from 1 species